AGAGUUUGAUCCUGGCUCAGAUUGAACGCUGGCGGCAUGCCUUACACAUGCAAGUCGAACGGCAGCACGGGAGCAAUCCUGGUGGCGAGUGGCGAACGGGUGAGUAAAGUAUCGGAACGUGCCCAGUCGUGGGGGAUAACGUAGCGAAAGCUACGCUAAUACCGCAUACGAUCUAUGGAUGAAAGCGGGGGAUCGCAAGACCUCGCGCGAUUGGAGCGGCCGAUAUCAGAUUAGGUAGUUGGCGGGGUAACGGCCCACCAAGGCUUCGAUCAGUAGCCGGCCUGAGAGGGUGAUCGGCCACACUGGAACUGAGACACGGUCCAGACUCCUACGGGAGGCAGCAGUGGGGAAUUUUGCGCAAUGGACGAAAGUCUGACGCAGCAACGCCGCGUGGGUGAUGAAGGUCUUCGGAUUGUAAAACCCUGUCGUCGAGGACGAAGGUCGGAGCGUUAAUAGCGCUUUGGCUUGACGGUACUCGGAGAGGAAGCCCCGGCUAACUCUGUGCCAGCAGCCGCGGUAAUACAGAGGGGGCAAGCGUUAUUCGGAAUUAUUGGGCGUAAAGGGCGCGUAGGCGGUUUUUUAAGUCGGAUGUGCAAUCCCCGAGCUCAACUUGGGAACUGCAUCUGAGACUGGAAGGCUAGAGUACUGGAGAGGGUGGUAGAAUUCCACGUGUAGCGGUGAAAUGCGUAGAGAUGUGGAGGAAUACCAGUGGCGAAGGCGGCCACCUGGACAGUAACUGACGCUGAGGCGCGAAAGUGUGGGUAGCAAACAGGAUUAGAUACCCUGGUAGUCC
rnacentral:rRNA from 1 species